UGGGGAAUAUUGCGCAAUGGGGGAAACCCUGACGCAGCAACGCCGCGUGAAGGAUGAAGGUCUUCGGAUUGUAAACUUUUGUCUUUAGGGACGAUAAUGACGGUACCUAAGGAGGAAGCCACGGCUAACUACGUGCCAGCAGCCGCGGUAAUACGUAGGUGGCAAGCGUUGUCCGGAUUUACUGGGUGUAAAGGGCGUGUAGACGGGUAAGAAAGUCAGAUGUGAAAUGCCGCAGCUUAACUGCGGAGCUGCAUUUGAAACUUUUUAUCUUGAGUGUGGGAGAGGAAAGCGGAAUUCCUAGUGUAGCGGUGAAAUGCGUAGAUAUUAGGAGGAACACCAGUGGCGAAGGCGGCUUUCUGGACCAUAACUGACGUUGAGGCGCGAAAGCGUGGGGAGCAAACAGG
rnacentral:rRNA from 1 species